rnacentral:rRNA from 1 species
CAAACCGGAGGAAGGUGGGGAUGACGUCAAGUCAUCAGUGGCCCUUACGGCCUGGGCUACACACGUGCUACAAUGGUCGGUACAAAGGGUUGCCAAGCCGCGAGGUGGAGCUAAUCCCAUAAAACCGAUCGUAGUCCGGAUCGCAGUCUGCAACUCGACUGCGUGAAGUCGGAAUCGCUAGUAAUCGUGAAUCAGAAUGUCACGGUGAAUACGUUCCCGGGCCUU